GAUGAACGCUGGCGGCGUGCCUAAUACAUGCAAGUCGAGCGAACAGACGAGGAGCUUGCUCCUCUGACGUUAGCGGCGGACGGGUGAGUAACACGUGGAUAACCUACCUAUAAGACUGGGAUAACUUCGGGAAACCGGAGCUACUUCGGGCUAAUAUAUUGAACCGCAUGGUUCAUUGGGUAACGCGGGUUUUGCGGUUCCUUUAGGCAGACCCGCGCCGCCCUAGCUAGGUGGAAAGGUAACGGGUUACCAAGGCGACGGUGCCUAGCCGACCUGAGAGGGUGAUCGGCCACACUUGAACUGAGACACGGGCCAGACUCCGACGGGAGGCAGCAGUAGGGAAUCUUCCGCAAUGGGCGAAAGCCUGACGGAGCAACGCCGCGUGAGUGAUGAAGGUCUUCGGAUCGUAAAACUCUGUUAUUAGGGAAGAACAAAUGUGUAAGUAACUAUGCACAUCUUGACGGUACCUAAUCAGAAAGCCACGGCUAACUACGU
rnacentral:rRNA from 1 species